UGGGGAAUAUUGGACAAUGGGCGCAAGCCUGAUCCAGCCAUGCCGCGUGAGUGAUGAAGGCCUUAGGGUUGUAAAGCUCUUUCGCCUGUGAAGAUAAUGACGGUAGCAGGUAAAGAAACCCCGGCUAACUCCGUGCCAGCAGCCGCGGUAAUACGGAGGGGGUUAGCGUUGUUCGGAAUUACUGGGCGUAAAGCGCACGUAGGCGGACCAGAAAGUUGGGGGUGAAAUCCCGGGGGCUCAACCCCGGAACUGCCUCCAAAACUAUUGGUCUAGAGUUCGAGAGAGGUGAGUGGAAUUCCAAGUGUAGAGGUGAAAUUCGUAGAUAUUUGGAGGAACACCAGUGGCGAAGGCGGCUCACUGGCUCGAUACUGACGCUGAGGUGCGAAAGUGUGGGGAGCAAACAGGAUUAGAUACCCUGGUAGUCCACACCGUAAAACGAUGAAUGCCAGUCGUCGGGGUAGCAUGCUAUUCGGUGACACACCUAACGGAUUAAGCAUUCCGGCCUGGGGAGUACGGUCGCAAGAUUAAAA
rnacentral:rRNA from 1 species